UACGUAGGUGACCAGCGUUGUCCGGAUUUACUGGGCGUAAAGAGCGCGCAGGCGGUCGUUCAAGUCGAGUGUGAAAGCCCCCGGCUCAACUGGGGAGGGUCAUUCGAUACUGAUCGACUCGAAGGCAGGAGAGGGAAGCGGAAUUCCCGGUGUAGUGGUGAAAUGCGUAGAUAUCGGGAGGAACACCAGUGGCGAAGGCGACUCUUUGGCCUGUAACUGACGCUGAGGCGCGAAAGCGUGGGGAGCAAACAGG
rnacentral:rRNA from 1 species